rnacentral:tRNA from 1 species
GCGGGCGUAGUUUAGUGGUAAAAUUCCAGCUUCCCAAGCUAGAGAUGUGGGUUCGAUUCCCGUCGCCCGCU